rnacentral:rRNA from 1 species
UGAGGAAUAUUGGUCAAUGGGCGGGGAGCCUGAACCAGCCAAGUCGCGUGAGGGAAGACGGUCCUAUGGAUUGUAAACCUCUUUUGUCGGGGAGCAAAGAGGCCACGUGGUGGUCAAAAGCGAGAGUACCCGAAGAAAAGCAUCGGCUAACUCCGUGCC